rnacentral:rRNA from 1 species
UAAGGAAUAUUGGUCAAUGGACGCAAGUCUGAACCAGCCAUGCCGCGUGAAGGAUGAAGGUCCUCUGGAUUGUAAACUUCUUUUAUAGGGGGCGAAAAAAGGGUUUUCUAACUCACUUGACAGUACCCUAUGAAUAAGCACCGGCUAACUCCGUGCCAGCAGCCGCGGUAAUACGGAGGGUGCAAGCGUUAUCCGGAUUCACUGGGUUUAAAGGGUGCGUAGGCGGAUAGGUAAGUCAGAGGUGAAAUCCUGGAGCUUAACUCCAGAACUGCCUUUGAUACUAUCUAUCUUGAAUAUGGUGGAGGUAAGCGGAAUAUGUCAUGUAGCGGUGAAAUGCAUAGAGAUGACAUAGAACACCUAUUGCGAAGGCAGCUUACUACGCCUAUAUUGACGCUGAGGCACGAAAGCGUGGGGAUCAAACAGG